CGUGCUUAACACAUGCAAGUCGUGCGAGAAAGUCGGCUUCGGCCGGCGAGUAAAGCGGCGAACGGGUGAGUAACACGUGGGUAAUCUGCCUGAGAUGGGGGGAUAACUUGGGGGAAACCCGAGCUAAUACCGCAUACGUCUCCCGGGGGCUGCGGCUCCGGAGGGAAAGCUGGCCUCUGCGUGCAAGCUAGCGCUCUCAGAGGAGCCCGCGGCCGAUUAGCUUGAUGGUGGGGUAACGGCCCACCAUGGCGACGAUCGGUAGCCGGCCUGAGAGGGUGAUCGGCCACACUGGGACUGAGACACGGCCCAGACUCCUACGGGAGGCAGCAGUGGGGAAUAUUGGACAAUGGGCGAAAGCCUGAUCCAGCAACGCCGCGUGGAGGACGAAGGCCCUCGGGUCGUAAACUCCUGUCAGGUGGGACGAAAAGGCGUCGACCAAUAAUCGGCGUUGAUGACGGUACCGCCAGAGGAAGCCCCGGCUAACUCCGUG
rnacentral:rRNA from 1 species